rnacentral:rRNA from 1 species
GAUAAGGAGCUUGCUCCUUUGACGUUAGCGGCGGACGGGUGAGUAACACGUGGGUAACCUACCUAUGAGACUGGGAUAACUUCGGGAAACCGGAGCUAAUACCGGAUAAUAUUUCGAACCGGAUGGUUCGAUAGUGUAGAUGGUUUUGCUAUCACUUAUAGAUGGACCCGCGCCGUAUUAGCUAGUUGGUAAGGUAACGGCUUACCAAGGCGACGAUACGUAGCCGACCUGAGAGGGUGAUCGGCCACACUGGAACUGAGACACGGUCCAGACUCCUACGGGAGGCAGCAGUAGGGAAUCUUCCGCAAUGGGCGAAAGCCUGACGGAGCAACGCCGCGUGAGUGAUGAAGGUCUUCGGAUCGUAAAACUCUGUUAUUAGGGAAGAACAUACGUGUAAGUAACUGUGCACGUCUUGACGGUACCUAAUCAGAAAGCCACGGCUAACUACGUGCCAGCAGCCGCGGUAAUACGUAGGUGGCAAGCGUUAUCCGGAAUUAUUGGGCGUAAAGCGCGCGUAGGCGGUUUUUUAAGUCUGAUGUGAAAGCCCACGGCUCAACCGUGGAGGGUCAUUGGAAACUGGAAAACUUGAGUGCAGAAGAGGAAAGUGGAAUUCCAUGUGUAGCGGUGAAAUGCGCAGAGAUAUGGAGGAACACCAGUGGCGAAGGCGACUUUCUGGUCUGUAACUGACGCUGAUGUGCGAAAGCGUGGGGAUCAAACAGGAUUAGAUACCCUGGUAGUCCACGCCGUAAACGAUGAGUGCUAAGUGUUAGGGGGUUUCCGCCCCUUAGUGCUGCAGCUAACGCAUUAAGCACUCCGCCUGGGGAGUACGACCGCAAGGUUGAAACUCAAAGGAAUUGACGGGGACCCGCACAAGCGGUGGAGCAUGUGGUUUAAUUCNAAGCAACGCGAAGAACCUUACCAAAUCUUGACAUCCUUUG